UGCCCAGCAACUCCUAUCCCUACCUCCUCGAGGUACUGGCCGGGGUACGAGUAACCUUAGGGAAGAUCGGGUAACCAACCCCCGGUGGGAAAUUUGGUCGUAUGCUGACAGGGAAGG
rnacentral:ribozyme from 1 species